AUUGAACGCUGGCGGCAGGCCUAACACAUGCAAGUCGAGCGGAUGAAGGGAGCUUGCUCCUGGAUUCAGCGGCGGACGGGUGAGUAAUGCCUAGGAAUCUGCCUGGUAGUGGGGGAUAACGUCCGGAAACGGGCGCUAAUACCGCAUACGUCCUGAGGGAGAAAGUGGGGGAUCUUCGGACCUCACGCUAUCAGAUGAGCCUAGGUCGGAUUAGCUAGUUGGUGGGGUAAAGGCCUACCAAGGCGACGAUCCGUAACUGGUCUGAGAGGAUGAUCAGUCACACUGGAACUGAGACACGGUCCAGACUCCUACGGGAGGCAGCAGUGGGGAAUGUUGGACAAUGGGCGAGAGCCUGAUCCAGCCAUGCCGCGUGUGUGAAGAAGGUCUUCGGAUUGUAAAGCACUUUAAGUUGGGAGGAAGGGCAGUAAGUUAAUACCUUGCUGUUUUGACGGUACCAACAGAAUAAGCACCGGCUAACUUCGUG
rnacentral:rRNA from 1 species